GAGUCUACGUGGGGGCGGGAGAACAAAGCUGCUGCCUCCGUGUAAACCGGGGCUCCGAGCUAAGCAGGUGCUGCUCCCCGGGGUCCGUGCGGGGGGAGCCCGGCAUUAACUCCUCCAUGCCCGGCCGCGGGGGCUUUCUCCAGCUGGGACCCGUCCCCUGGGCAGCCCCGGGCCGGAGCCCCCCAGCCUUCCAUUCUCCUGUUCAAGAGGCAUCCCCCAGGGCUCCCUCUGCCUGUGUGACUGGCCAGCAGGGGGUGGUGAUAACUUUCUAUCCACUUCUCAGACCCUGUGAGGCUGCAGAAUGACGUCCAUGUUUCGCUCCAGUUCAUCCCAGCCUCCCAUGGGACAGGGGAGAGAAAUGGCUGCAGAGGAGUCAGUCCAGAACAAAGAGGUAUUCUUACACCUGGAA